GCUGGCGGCACGCCUUAUACAUGCAAGUCGAACGAAGUAGCAAUACUUAGUGGCAGACGGGUGAGUAACAUGUGGGUAUCUUCCCUAUGGUGAGGAAUAACACGAGGAAACUUGUGCUAAUACCUCAUAAGUCUUUACGGAGAAAGCUUUAUGCGCCAUUGGAUGAGCCCGCACUUGAUUAGUUUGUUGGUAGGGUAAUGGCCUACCAAGACUGUGAUCAAUAGCUGAUUUGAGAGGAUGAUCAGCCACAUUGGGACUGAGACACGGCCCAAACUCCUACGGGAGGCAGCAGUAAGGAAUCUUGCACAAUGGAGGAAACUCUGAUGCAGCGAUGCCGCGUGAGUGAAGAAGGCCCUUGGGUUGUAAAGCUCUUUCGUCGGGGAAGAAAAUGACUGUACCCGAAUAAGAAGGUCCGGCUAACUUCGUGCCAGCAGCCGCGGUAAUACGAAGGGACCUAGCGUAGUUCGGAAUUACUGGGCUUAAAGAGUUCGUAGGUGGUUAAAAAAGUUGGUGGUGAAAUCCCAGAGCUUAACUCUGGAACUGCCAUCAAAACUUUUUAGCUAGAGUAUGAUAGAGGAAAGCAGAAUUUCUAGUGUAGAGGUGAAAUUCGUAGAUAUUAGAAAGAAUACCAAUUGCGAAGGCAGCUUUCUGGAUCAUUACUGACACUGAGGAACGAAAGCAUGGGUAGCGAAGAGGAUUAGAUACCCUCGUAGUCCAUGCCGUAAACGAUGUGUGUUAGACGUUGGAAAUUUAUUUUCAGUGUCGCAGCGAAAGCGAUAAACACACCGCCUGGGGAGUACGA
rnacentral:rRNA from 1 species